rnacentral:rRNA from 1 species
CGUAGGUGGCAAGCGUUGUCCGGAAUUAUUGGGCGUAAAGCGCGCGCAGGUGGGAUACCAAGUCUGUCUUAAAAGUGCGGGGGCUCAACCCCGUGAUGGGAUGGAAACUGGUAUUCUUGAGUGCAGAGAGGAAAGCGGAAUUCCCAGUGUAGCGGUGAAAUGCGUAGAUAUUGGGAGGAACACCAGUGGCGAAGGCGGCUUUCUGGACUGUGUCUGACACUGAGGCGCGAAAGCCAGGGUAGUGAACGGGAUUAGAUACCCCGGUAAUCCUGGCCGUAAACGAUGGGUACUAGGUGUAGAGGGUAUCGACCCCUUCUGUGCCGGAGUUAACGCAAUAAGUACCCCGCCUGGGGAGUACGGCCGCAAGGUUG